AUUGAACGCUGGCGGCAUGCCUUACACAUGCAAGUCGAACGGUAACAGGUUAAGCUGACGAGUGGCGAACGGGUGAGUAAUGUAUCGGAACGUGCCCAGUCGUGGGGGAUAACUGCUCGAAAGAGCAGCUAAUACCGCCUACGACCUGAGGGUGAAAGCGGGGGAUCGCAAGACCUAGCGCGAUUGGAGCGGCAGAUAUCAGAUUAGGUAGUUGGUGGGGUAAAGGCCUACCAAGCCGACAGUCUGUAGCUGGUCUGGGAGGAUGACCAGCCACACUGGGACUGAGACACGGCCCAGACUCCUACGGGAGGCAGCAGUGGGGAAUUUCGGACAAUGGACGCAAGUCUGAUCCAGCCAUGCCGCGUGCGGGAAGAAGGCCUUCGGGUUGUAAACCGCUUUUGUCAGGGAAGAAACGCUCUGGGUUAAUACCUCGGGGUAAUGACGGUACCUGAAGAAUAAGCACCGGCUAACUACGUGCCAGCCGCCGCGGUAA
rnacentral:rRNA from 1 species